rnacentral:sRNA from 1 species
GCUGUUCCUCAGCCACCCGCAGACCAAGACCUACUUCCCGCACUUCGACCUGCACCCGGGGUCCGCGCAGUUGCGCGCGCACGGCUCCAAGGUGGUGGCGCCGUGGGCGACGCGGUGAAGAGCAUCGACAACAUCGGCGGCGCCCUGUCCAAGCUGAGCGAGCUGCACGCCUACAUCCUGCGCGUGGACCCGGUGAACUUCAAGGCUCUUCACAGUGUACCCCAGCACCAAGGUCUACUUCCCGCACCUGAGCGCCUGCCAGGACGCGACGCAGCUGCUGAGCCACGGGCAGCGCAUGCUGGCGGCUGUGGGCGCGGCGGUGCGGCACAUGGACAACCUGCGCGCCGCGCUGAGCCCGCUGGCGGACCUGCACGCGCUCGUGCUGCGCGUGGACCCAGCCAACUUUCCGCUGCUAAUCCAGUGUUUCCACGUCGUGCUGGCCUCCCACCUGCAGGACGAGUUCACCGUGCAAAUGCAAGCGGCGUGGGACAAGUUCCUGACUGGUGUGGCCGUGGUGCUGACCGAAAAAUACCGCUGAGCCCUGUGCUGCGCAGGCCUUGGUCUGUGCCUGUCAAUAAACAGAGGCCCGAA